GCGGGCGUGGCGGAAUUGGUAGACGCGCUAGAUUUAGGAUCUAGUGUCUUAUGGCGUGGGAGUUCGAGUCUCCCCGCCCGCACCA
rnacentral:tRNA from 3 species